rnacentral:lncRNA from 1 species
CAAGAGUGAGUGCUAUGUAAUUAGACAUGAGCUAUAAACAUUCAAGUAGUAUUAAACACGGCCUGAUUCUGUUUGUCUUUCCUGCAGAGCACAGACAUCAGCAACCCAAUUGAAGUUUGGGAAUGAAGCACUGCUCGGUGCAGAGAAGAGUUACAGAAUCAGGACCACAACGAGCAGCAAUCACAAAGUAUAACUUCAUUGAGGCUGCUCAGGGCGAGAUUUUUAAAGGGAUUGACAAAUCUGUUGCAGAUGCUGAGCUCCAUCAGGUGCCGAAGUAUAUUGAGCCUGAUAUUGGAUCCUG